rnacentral:SRP_RNA from 1 species
CGUUGGUCCUCUCGCAUCGGAAUCUUGUUUACCAGGUCAGGCCCGGAAGGGAGCAGCCCAAGCAGGAACCUCCGAGUGCCGGGAUGUGGCUGGCGGCG